rnacentral:rRNA from 1 species
AGACGGGAGCUUGCUCCCUGAUGUUAGCGGCGGACGGGUGCGUAACACGUGGGUAACCUGCCUGUAAGACUGGGAUAACUCCGGGAAACCGGGGCUAAUACCGGAUGCUUGAUUGAACCGCAUGGUUCAAUUAUAAAAGGUGGCUUUUAGCUACCACUUACAGAUGGACCCGCGGCGCAUUAGCUAGUUGGUGAGGUAACGGCUCACCAAGGCGACAAUGCGUAGCCGACCUGAGAGGGUGAUCGGCCACACUGGGACUGAGACACGGCCCAAACUCCUACGGGAGGCAGCAGUAGGGAAUCUUCCGCAAUGGACGAAAGUCUGACGGAGCAACGCCGCGUGAGUGAUGAAGGUUUUCGGAUCGUAAAACUCUGUUGUUAGGGAAGAACAAGUACCGUUCGAACAGGGCGGUACCUUGACGGUACCUAACCAGAAACCACGGCUAACUACGUGCCAGCAGCCGCGGUAAUACGUAGGGUGCAAGCGUUGUCCGGAAUUAUUGGGCGUAAAGCGCGCGAAGGCGGUUUCUUAAGUCUGAUGUGAAGCCCCCCCGGCUCAACCGGGGAGGGUCAUUGGAAACUGGGGAACUUGAGUGCAAAAGAAGAGAGUGGAAUUCCACGUGUACCGUUGAAAUGCGUAGAGAUGUGGAGGAACACCAGUGGCGAAG